ensembl:lncRNA NSUN5P1 NSUN5 pseudogene 1
GGGAACAUGGGGCUGUACGCUGCGGUGGCAGGCGUGCUGGCCGGCGUGGAGAGCCGCCAGGGCUCUAUCAAGGGGCUGGUGUACUCCAGCAACUUCCAGCCUUGAUGACUUACAAGCCCUCAAGGGGAAGCAUUUUCUCCUGGACUCCUUGAUGCCGGAGCUGCUGGUGUUUCCCGCCCAGACAGAUCUGCAUGAACACCCACUGUACCGGGCCGGACACCUCAUUCUGCAGGACAGGGCCAGCUGUCUCCCAGCCAUGCUGCUGGACCCCUGCCAGGCUCCCAUGUCAUCGAUGCCUGUGCCGCCCCAGGCAAUAAGACCAGUCACUUGGCUGCUCUUCUGAAGAACCAAGGGAAGAUCUUUGCCUUUGACCUGGAUGCCAAGCGGCUGGCAUCCAUGGCCACGCUGCUGGCCUGGGUUGGCGUCUCCUGCUGUGAGCUGGCUGAGGAGGACUUCCUGGCGGUCUCCCCCUUAGAUCCGCGCUAUCGUGAGGUCCACUAUGUCCUGCUGGAUCCUUCCUGCAGUGGCUCGGGUAUGCCGAGCAGACAGCUGGAGGAUCCCGGGGCAGGGACACCUAGCCCGGUGCGUCUGCAUGCCCUGGCAGGGUUCCAGCAGCGAGCCCUGUGCCACGCGCUCACUUUCCCUUCCCUGCAGCGGCUCGUCUACUCCAUGUGCUCCCUCUGCCAGGAGGAGAAUGAAGACAUGGUACCAGAUGCGCUGCAGCAGAACCCGGGCGCCUUCAGGCUAGCUCCCGCCCUGCCUGCCCGGCCCCACCGAGGCCUGAGCACGUUCCCGGGUGCCGAGCACUGCCUCCGGGCUUCCCCCAAGACCACGCUUAGCGGUGGCUUCUUCGUUGCUGUAAUUGAACGGGUCGAGAUGCCGAUGUGACUCAGCCUCACAGGCCAAAGCAUCAGCACCAGAACGCACACCCAGCCCAGCCCCAAAGAGAAAGAAGAGACAGCAAAGAGCCGCAGCCGGUGCUUGCACACCGCCUUGCACAUAGCAGAGGCUCCAGGCUGACUCCUUCCUGGUGGGAAAGGAAGAUGCCUGUCCUCUCCGUGGAGGACCCUGGGCCCUCACCGCAGGCAGCAGUUUGCAUUUUGAAAGGUUAUUGGGUCCCUUCCUCGGGCUGUGUUCUUGCUGGUGAGCAAAAGUGUUGCCUGCAGAAAUAAAAUGCAGAACGUACUCUACGAUA